CCUACGGGAGGCUGCAGUGGGGAAUAUUGCACAAUGGGCGCAAGCCUGAUGCAGCCAUGCCGCGUGUGCGAAGAAGGCCUUCGGGUUGUAAAGCACUUACAGCGGGGAGGAAGGCGGUGAGGUUAAUAACCUCAUCGAUUGACGUUACCCGCAGAAGAAGCACCGGCUAACUCCGUGCCAGCGGCCGCGGUAAUACGGAGGGUGCAAGCGUUAAUCGGAAUUACUGGGCAUAGAGCGCACGCAGGCGGCCUGUCAAGUCGGAUGUGAAAUCCCCGGGCUCAACCUGGGAACUGCAUUCGAAACUGGCAGGCUAGAGUCUUGUAGAGGGGGGUAGAAUUCCAGGUGGAGCGGUGAAAUGCGUAGAGAUCUGGAGGAAUACCGGUGGCGAAGGCGGCCCCCUGGACAAAGACUGACGCUCAGGUGCGAAAGCGUGGGGAGCAAACAGGAUUAGAUACCCGGGUAGUC
rnacentral:rRNA from 1 species